AUUGAACGCUGGCGGAGUGCUUUACACAUGCAAGUCGAACGGCAGCACGGACUUCGGUCUGGUGGCGAGUGGCGAACGGGUGAGUAAUGUAUCGGAACGUGCCCAGUCGUGGGGGAUAACGUAGUGAAAAUUACGCUAAUACCGCAUACGAUCUAUGGAUGAAAGCGGGGGAUCGCAAGACCUCGCGCGAUUGGAGCGGCCGAUAUCAGAUUAGGUAGUUGGUGGGGUAAAGGCCCACCAAGCCAACGAUCUGUAGCUGGUCUGAGAGGACGACCAGCCACACUGGAACUGGGACACGGUCCAGACUCCUACGGGAGGCAGCAGUUGGGAAUUUUGGACAAUGGGCGAAAGCCUGAUCCAGCCAUUCCGCGUGCAGGAUGAAGGCCCUCGGGUUGUAAACUGCUUUUGUACAGAACGAAAAGGUUUCUACUAAUACUAGGAGCUCAUGACGGUACUGUAAGAAUAAGCACCGGCUAACUACGUGCCAGCAGCCGCAGUAA
rnacentral:rRNA from 1 species